CUGUAACAUCUGUUUGGGGAAACUGCGAUGUCUGACGCGCUCCAGAGGAAUGUGGCAGAAAGCACUUUUCGGCGGCUGCUCGGAAAGGUUAUCAUUGGACAGAAGCAAAUACUAGACUGAAAGGUCAAUGGAAGCGCUUCUAAAGGUUGGACCUGCUUGGACACCAUGGCUGGCCGGUGAGACGAUGCUUCAUUUGAUUUGCGGGUCCAGAAGUCUGACAAGGGACCUGUCACACUCACGCUGGAGUCGGCCAUUUACGCUGGAGCACGUGGGCAAAAAACACCCAGCAAUAAAAGCAGAUGAUGUCAUCAAGAAAGGAAAAGUCUCAGAAGCCGGUAUCACAGAGUUGGCUGUUUGUGUCAACGUGCAUGGCUGAUGUCUCCCCCCCCCGCCCCUGCCCGGUCUGCUCAAACAGAAGCAUAUAAAAGGCUCUGCCCCCUUUCAUGAGAUGGGGGCUGUCUUGUUGGAUUCUCCCCAGCCGAACCCCAUGCUCUCUCACACACACACACACACACACACACACACGGCGGAGUUUAUCCAAAGCGGCAACAAUGGCAGAAUGCCAGUGGGUGACAUUUUCUGACAUAAUAUUUGCUUAAUAUUUACUUAAAUGCCUUUAACUGUAUCCCAGAGAGCUGUUUCCAGGCUAUGUGGCCACCAUGAAUCACAAUAAAAUGACUGGAUUAUAAGAUAGUAAGGGAGAGGAUCCUGAUCAAACGUGGAACAGCAAUUCCUGCCUCAGCGGAAUGAUUAAAAGGAGAUUAAGGGUUCAGAUUAAGUCGUAUUUUUUCUUGUAAACGUCAACCCUCAUCCCCCCCAUGUGCAGUCUUUGUAAAAAAGAGGUAGUUGGGGUGGGGUUGAGUCACACCUAGGAGGGGCUUCGGGCAGAAGCCAGGCUCUGGCCCCUGUUUCCAUUGGCUCUGCGGUGCCGCAUUAACGCAGCCAGUGCCCCGCUUAGCAGAUGUAACUUUAAUACUCUGCUACGGCGGCGCCUGGCUCUCAUCUCGGCGUGUCUCUGUCAGCCGGGUGGAUCUCGAACCUCCCCCGUUUUCCAUGGCGGUGCCGUUAAAAUAUCGGUGCUUGUCUCCGUUUGUUGUUAUCACAACAAAGGCCCGUUUUCGGGGGACUCUAAUCUGCCUGUUGUUCUCAGUGGUGUCCUACUGGGUGUAUUUCCCUGAUGCUUAGAUUAUGUGGUGGCAGUGGGGUUUAUAGGGUAUUAUCUGGCACGUUGUGCUGCUUUGUUAUAGGAAAGU